UACAGAUUGGUGCCACAUCCUC
rnacentral:piRNA from 1 species